UCUGAUAGCGCAAUGGUUUAGAAAUUAUACGCUUCGGCCUCUCCAUCUGUAAAUCCCUUGUCAAGUGCAAUUCAAUCAAGAAUGGAUUAUCAAAAGAUGUUACAAUAUAUUUAAAGAGGAGAAAUUCAAACAUCAAAGUGAGUUAUUAAGCAAAUUAUCGCGAGGAACAUAGAA